rnacentral:lncRNA from 1 species
CUGAUAGGGAGUCCAGCUCGCAGAGUUAUACGCUCACCCUUGCAAAGUAGACACAGACCAGGGUGACCAGGUAAGACGCCACCUGGCCUGUGAGUCUGUGCACGGGGGCUUUCCAGGAAAAGUGCUCCAAGUCUCAGUACAACAGGGAUAAGCAGAAGCGUGGUCAAGGGAAGCCAAAAUCAGGGAAGCCAGAGGUCAGAGUAGUCCAGGAGGAAAGCCAAGGUCAGAAGGAAAGACAAGAAUCACUGGAACGCAGGUACAGAGUAACAGGAACCAAACAAGGGAACCAGAGUCAAUGAAC